UGUAAAUAAAGCCUGGCCCCCAGGCUGAGGAUGCGGCGCGACGUCUCGUUUCAUGCACCCAACAGCUCGAGGAGUGUUUAGCGGGGCAGUGGUGACACGUGGGACCUGAACAGAAUCUCAGCAAAGGUAUUGCCGCCGCUUGCCACAUGUGGAGAGCAUAUAAAAGGAGUAAACAGUGAGCGAUCAAAACAAAUACAGCGAGGCACGCUGGGAGGGCUCGCUGUUUCAACAAAGAUGACUGACGAAAACCCACCUGCUCAUCGGUCUUCGGCACAAUGCCAGUGAUAACGUAAUUACUGUGUGAAUAAGUUCCAUGCCAUGCCCCAUGGGUGGAGCAGACCGCAAAUUAUGGCGUAAUGAACUAUUUUCUUGGACAUUACUUGCCAUCGUGUGGUUCCAACAUGGGGUUCUUUUCCAAGAUAAAGAAAAGUCUCUGGUCUCUCUUCGUGCAUUCUAUAUAUCACCUUUUGGGGGCCACUUUGACUUGGGUAGAGGUAGAUGGUAGUUGGUACAUUGUAUUACACUUAUCCCACAUCAGGAACCAGCCAACACGCGUGGCCCGUGCUUUCGUGGUGGAACAUUUCUUGCCUUUUCAUUUGUUUGUGUAGCUCUGAUAUAAAAAAAAAAAGUCAGGACCUCUCUACAUGCCAGCAAACGGCAUAUGCAGCCAAUGGCAAUUAAUUCUACAAAUCACUAAGUAUUAAAGAAACCCGUAUCUUUGGCUUGAAGCAUGAUCGAUCGAUGGGCGUCUACCGUACCUAUUACGCAACAUAUUCAACGUGGCACGAUCGACCAAUCGGCAUUUUUGGCCUCUUUUCUAAUUGGCUUUUUUGAAUUGGCACGUGGAGCCGCCUAAACUGUGCUAGCAAGGAAGGGGUCCACAAGCUGAGUGCAUAAUUUAUAUUAGUCCAUGUGCCCGGCUUCUACUCUUAAACGGAGGUGUAGAAAAUCUGAUGACGUCUGAGAUGUGUGUACAUUCACUGGCUCCGUUCUUUCAAGCGACAAAUCUUGCACGCGUUUGUAUACCGGGUGCAGCGGCCGAGAUGCCCGUUGAGAUUACUGCACCUCAUAAAUAUUGAUCAAAUCGGACACGUCAUUGGCCAAUUCCAUCUCGCAUCAGAGAAGUAGAAAUGGGUGCGUUUCAAUUAGCUUACAUGUGUAAGUCAAACUUACACGAGAGCGUUCGUUUAGCCACCACGUGAUCUUCGUGUCUGCCCUGGUGUAAGCCACCACUACCCCAGCUGGCGAGCGGGUCUCUGGAGGAUCCCCGAGUGUAAUGACGUCACGGGUGGACUGUUCGAGCACGGGCAUGAUGGAACCUGGCGGGGACUUGAACUUUUUCCCAGAAUGCCUCGGCGAAUACACUACACCGUUCGAUCAGCCUCAUUUUGUGGCUUCCCUUGCGUGUAACACUGGUGUAUGCAGGUGACGUCUUACGGGGUGACCUUAUAUUCUGAUCAAUCGCUUCUUCCAUGUUACUACAGCAGAGUCGUGACUGGAUUGAAAAACGAGGGCGUUAUUGCUGUGAUGUCAUGUAAGGAAGACACUAAACUGUCGACAAGGAACUCCUUAGUUAAUUCUACAGCUCUCAUUUCAGCCGACCCCUAUCUUCGCUUCGAUCAAGGGAAACAUUUUAUUCCCCAACCCUCUCUGGAAUUUCCUGCCGAAAAACAAAAUCACAAUCACAGGUAUUUCUGGGGAAAAACAACUCCUUUUUUUCUCAGAACGAUUGACUCUCCCCCAAGAUAAAACAAAACAUAUGAGUAACAUUGACCUAACUACGGAGGCCCAUAUAGUGCUUUUUGUUCAAAGCUUGAACUUAAUUUAUGCUAAUAUAAUUGGUUUUGAAAAUCGUAAUGGCAAGCUGCCAUAAAGUAAAACGACUCAAAAUUACCUCAGGGGAAAAUUAAUAAAACAUAAUAUAGGACAUUUUGGUGCUAAAAUAACUCUUGUAACGAGGUUUCUUCCUGAAUGACAUCACCUCUUGCUCAGGAAUAAUUAUCUGAGUUGCAUAUGCAUAAAACCCACAGAGACAAAUAAACGGUCUCUGCAACUGAAACAUUUAAAUUAAAAAUGAGCUUAAACAGGACGCAAAUAAAGUGAAAAUGAAAAUUUGCAAUGAUUUAAAAACAAAAUUGCAUAGACUCUUUCAGACAGUGAAUUAGUUACGAAGUUUAAUUAAGCAUUCCCUUGAACCUAGCAUGAAACAAAAUUGACUUAUCAAUUCCCCGUUAUAUCCUGUUGUACAUGUACUUUCAACAUCAGUGAAUUCAGAUUAUGCUAGAUUCAAACACAUGUUUAUGAUAGUUAACUCAGACUUACGGAUCUGAAGGAAUGAUACCGUGAUAUCGUUGUUCGAUCAUUUUAACAGAUUAGGAAUGAUAUACAUGGAUGUACAUGUAACUGAUCAUUAGCUGGAUGAUGCUAAAUUCAACCUAGAUUCUCUUUUCCCUUCAGAGGAGUAAAGUCCUCCCACAGUUUGCCCACCUUAAUCGUGAAAAUGUGAGAAACAGCCCGCCUUCCGGAAGAAUUCAACUCUGUUUAUAAUGCCAUAGUCCCAUGGAAUGAAGAAAAACUCAGUGGGAGCCCGCACCUGCUAGAUAAGACCCUCAAUGACAGCGCGUGUUGACGUGGGCUGAGGAAGACGAAUGACAACAGUGCCCCCUCUUGACCCUGAGGCCUAGAUGCUUCUCUUAGAGCCCGUCUGCGCAGGAAUGCGUGGGUUCAAAGGUCAAGCAGUACUGCGCCGACUCUGUCCACAAUCUGAACGAUGCCGACUGGAUUGGCCACCAGGAAGGGGGAGAUGGUAUCAAACAAAUGACACUGCUCCUGCUAAAUUUAGGAAAAAUUCUUGACAUCUCUUCGGGUUACUCUCAGUGGAAAGUUCACCUUUGUAAACCUUUAGAAAUAUCUAUGGUUUCCCUGACUAUAAAAGGGCGCUGUUGCCGUGAAUGUUAUUACGGGAAGACACUCUUCCUUGGGGGCGGGGGUCUGUUCAAAUAUAUGAAUCCGGAACUUAUUAAUUAACUGGAAAUGGUUUUGAAAAAGCUUUGCUCCUGACCUCAUGUCAUGAACACACAAAACUGACAUGUUCAGUGAGACAAGAACUACAUGUACAUGUAUUUACAAGAACUGCAUUUAACAAUUACGCUGCCUUGUCCCUAUAAGUUUUGCUGAAGUGUCUCGAAGUUUUGCUGUUAUUUGACCAGUGGCGUAUCCAGCCAAAGAAAACUUCAAAGAGAAAGAAACAACGAAACGGUGAUUUGCAGACGAGCUUACUCUCCGUGGCAGCAGGGUCUUUCUUUUCCUCAAUCAGCACAUUCAUUCCGAGAACAAGGCAGUGUGUUUCCCUUCAUCCCUAUAGCAACCUCGCCCCCAUGGAAGGAGCAAAGGCACCUACCACAGACGACAGAGUUGAACAAAAGAAUAACCACGGGUAAAAGGACAGGAAAACCAUUUUGUUCCUUUUGUGCGUCAGUCCCUUUUUGUGGUAAAGUAAAGCAUGUACACCAUAAACACACAGUUACGCCCUAGUAUUUACAAACGAGAAAAUUACAACGGCAAAAAACCGUGAAAUACCCUGUUUUUUUAAUAUUGUCAGACAUAAUUCGCCUCAAAAAUGCGUAUUUACAUGCAACAGGUCUAACACGCUUGAGAUUUUAUGUUGGAAGGUUUGUUAUGAAAAAAGAGGGACACUUUUACUUAAAAUCUUGUGAUUUUUAAAAGUCAGGAUUUCUUCGGAGAUAAAUGCAGGUUUCUUUUUUACGUGUACAGGACGUCCCGGCUAUUUCAAAUGGUUCUGAAUUUAAUGCAUCAACUCAAAAUAUUCAAAUUCAUUCAGGGCAAAUCCGCAGUGUGUUAGAAAAAGCGAUUUGUUUCAAAGUAUGGUCCGCACAUUAACACAUAAAGUCGAGAAACCUCAUCAUUACAAAUCAAAUUUGUCGAAGCUUUUGAUAAAUGGAAGCGUCAAAGAGUGGAUUUGUCUUGUAUCAAUUAUUUUGAUAUACAUUUCAGGGUAAACUAUACUCUUGUGCGUGCUAAAGAAUUUCCUUGGGUCCCCACAAACCAUUUGGCACAAUAGAUUGACAACAAAAUAGCAAAAAUAUAAACAAUCCCCUCAAAACAAGUCUUUUUAAUUUAAAACAAAUGAAGAGUGCAUAAAUAAAUAAAUAAAUA